ACGUCUGUAGCUCAGUGGAUAGAGUGUCUAUUCCAUAAGUAGAAAGUCAUUGGUUCGAACCUGUAUAACGCG
rnacentral:tRNA from 1 species